UUCUGCAAAGCUAUCGGAGCCAUCCAAACAGCGCCAACACUUUUAGUAUUUGUAUCCAAAUUAUAAUCAGCCAGAGGAAUCACAUAUUGUCCGAUCAGACAACACUAUUACCUGCAUCCAACGGCCAAGAUCAUCUAUCACAAUACACAUGAGACAAUCACCACAAGCUACUAAUUCUCGUUGAGACAACCAAAUCCACUAGAAUCUGAACCAGUGACACACGCAUCACUCUAACCAAAACCAGCAACCUAGAAUAUGGGUUAUGGAAUUCUUACCCUGACAACACCUUCAUGUUCGACCUCCAUAGAUUACUCCAGGAAACCUCCCGAGUUCCAGGCUCUUUCCUUACGUGCAGUUAGAAUUCAGUGCUCAAAUUCUAGCCCAGAUGUGCCUCUAACCUCUGAGAAACUUGAGAAUGAAGCUCCUUUGACGGGCAGUGCAUUUGAUUUCAAUAAAGCAACAUUACCUCUUACCCAUAAGUCGAUCUCUUCAUCAAAGAAAGUAACCCUUAUACGGCAUGGUCUUAGCUCAUGGAAUGUGGAAAGUAGAGUUCAGGGAAGCUCAAACCUGUCUUUCCUAACAGAAACUGGAGUGGAGCAAGCUGAGAGAUGCAAAGAAGCCUUAGCAAAUAUAUACUUUGAUCAGUGUUUCUCAAGUCCAAUAUCUCGUGCCAAGUCCACUGCUGAAAUUAUAUGGCAAGGGAGGGAACAGCCACUCAUUUUCCUUGAUUCACUGAAGGAGGCCCAUUUAUAUUACCUUGAAGGCAUGAAAAAUGUGGAUGCCAAGCAGAGAUAUCCAAAGGAGUACACAACAUGGAGAGAGGAUCCAGCUAAUUUUAAAGUGAAUGGAAUUUUCCCUUUACUAAAUCUUUGGGGAACAGCAAGAGAGGCUUGGAGGGAAAUCUUACUCACACCUGGGGAGCAUUUCUUAGUUAUUACUCACAAAUCAAUCUUGAGGGCAUUGAUCUGCACAGCUUUAGGGCUUGGCCCUGAGAGGUAUUAAAGUUGUUUUCAGCAAAUUCUGUGAAAAUAACACAAGCUGUUUUUGCGGGGCAGUUAUGGUUCCGUGCUAUUGAUGUAAACAACGGUGGAAUUUCUGUAUUCAAUUUCAACAAAAGAGGAGAAGCAAUGCUUCAAUCUCUGAACAUGACUGCCCACAUGUACAGUGAUCAUGUCUAUCAAUACUGAUACUUUGAUGUGCAAACAGCAUACCCUUCCUACCCUCCACUGCUAUUGCUACAAGGACACUCGACCCAUCAAAUACGAACUCUUUCCGCAGUCGCAGUUGGGAAUGAGAGGACGAGCUCACAAAUUGAGCAAUAACCAUUUUACAUUCAGUCUAAAUGUAUCAACUUUGAAGUUGAGUAGCUCCUGUUUUUUUUUUUUUUUUUUUGGUUGCGAAUGGUAGCUCCUGUUUUUUGGUGAACAAUAUUGCAUUCCAUUUUCAUGUUUGUGUUGUUACCAUGUAGAAAAGAGAGAAUUUUAAGUGGCGUAUUACAUGAUACCUACACCACAUAGAAA